GCGCCAAAACCAUUUUGGUAAGGUCGUACCUUUCUUUUUUCUAUUGACAGUCUUCUUCUUCCUUUUCCAUCUCUCCCCUAUGCUUCAAAACCAGUUUGUAAGGAUCAGACCUCGCUUUCUUCCAUUGCUAAUACCUUUGCACAAAUGGCUGAUUUGAUGUAUCAAAUUCGUGGCUCCCAAGAUGACCUCAUCCUGUGCAUAUAACCUGAAAUUUGAGUUUUGAUUUCUCCAGUUCCAUUUCAAAACCCUAAUGAUUUCAUGGUCUUAAUUACAGGGUUCUAUAGGUUCAUAUGUUGUGGGUCUAACUCACUUUGAUGAGAUUUUGCAAGAGGCAGAUGGUAUUAUCCUUUCCUGUGGAAAUCUUUGCUUUGAUCUUCCACCAGAGAAGUUUCAACAGCAACUGGUUGUGUUUGUGUGCUUUAAGUUUCAACAACAAUUGUUUCUUCAUCAGGUAUAAACACAUCUUGAGGAUAAGCUCUCUUUUGUAUCUUUACAUACGCUUGGUUGGUCUCUUAUCAAUCAAAAAUCUUUCCCAUGCAUGCAUGGUAGACUAUGAUAACCUGCUUAAUAUGCUAAGUUGUUUCAGGAAAUGGAGGUGUGAUGAUGUACUAUAAAAUUGUCAUUUUGAUCUUAGUUUUGGCUAUUUCUUAUAAAAGGUGGUUUUAGCUA